AUUUUUUUUAUUUUUUGAUUUUUUUAAUUUUUUUUAUUUUUAGUAGAGAUAGGUUUCACCAUGUUGGCCAGGAUGGUCUCGAUCUCCUGACCUCGUGAUCCGCCCACCUUGGCCUCCCAAAGUGUUGGGAUUACAGGCAUGACCCACUGCACCUAGCCUGAGAUCUACUCAUUUCUAUAGUAUUAAAAAGUCUGGGCAGGGACUGGUGGCUCACGCCUGUAAUCCCAGCACUUGGGAGGCCGAGGUGUGUGGAUCACUUCAGGUCAGUUCGAGACCAACCUGUCAAACAUGCUGAGACCCUGUGUCUACUAAAAAUACAAAAAUUAGCUGGGAAUUGUGGCUCACGACUAUAAUCCCAGCUACUUGGGAGGCUGAGGCAUUAGAAUCACUUGAACCCAGGAGGUGGAGGUUGCAGUGAGCCAAGAGAAUGCCGCUGCACUCCAGCUUGGGUGACAGAGUGAGACUGUCUCAAAAAACAAAGUCUGUCAUAAGCUUACCUUAGGUAUUCACUUCAUUCCCAACCAUUCGCAUCUCAUACGUUUUGCACUAGCAAAACUGAACUGCUCAUAAACCUUGCAAAUUUCACUCAAGCAUCUUACUUUUGCACUCACUGCUCCUUCUGCCAAACACACAAUCUUCUGCCCACAUCAUCCUCUGCCUCUUUACCUGGAAAAGUUCUACUCACUCUGCCUGCUUACCUUAAAUCCUACCACUUUUUUACAGCUUUCAUUCCUCACAUAAAGUGUCUGGCACAUAUUUAACAUAGUAAAUGAUCACUAUACGCUUCCAGAGGGCAUCUAGCACACAGUAGUAGGCAAUGAAUAAAUAAUUCAGCAAAUAACUAAAAUGACAAUGAUAAUAACAAGCUCCUGGGUUUUGUUUGUUUUUUUCUUUUUUGAGACAGGGUCUCACUCUGUUACCCAGACAGGAGUGCAGUGGCAUGAUCAUAGCUCACUGUAGCCUCAAAUACCCAGGCUCAAGCAAUCCUCCCACCUCAGCCUCCCAAGUAGCUGGAAGUACAGGCACCUGCCACCAUGCCCUGCUAAUGUUUUAUUAUUUAAAAAAAAAUUUAGUAGAGAUGAGGUCUUGUCAUGUUGCCUGGGCUGAUCUCAAACUCCUGGGCUCAAGUGAUCCUCCCAUCUCAGCCUCCCAAAGUACUGAGAUUACAGGCAUGCGCCACUGUGGCUGGCCCCAAUGGUAUUUUUAAAUGUUUGUAUUGUGUAACAUUAGAAAAAAAAUGCUUAGUAUCUAAAAGACAUUUGAUAAUUAUUUAAGUGGACAAGUGAAUAAAUGAUUGCCUUGAAAAUUCUGUUGAAAAAACACAGAAAUAGAGAAAGCUCUAUUCUAUUAUGAGCACCUCAAAGACCAAAACUAUGUCUGUUUAAUGUUUGUCUCCCAUAACUUGCAGAACCUUAACUUAGAGAAGUUCUUUGAUUAAUAUGUACUAAAUUAAAGGUGUCCUCUUACAGUUCAGAUUGUCCAAUGCAUUAGGCGUCACAUCUCAGUAGCACAGAAGCAUUUUUGUUAUUGUGAAACAUUUUUGUACUUUUAUUAUAAUUUGUUGAGCCUCAAGUUGGGCUAUGUGAAUAUUUAUUAUAAUAAUCUUUUGGCUAAUGGUAACAGCAUGUCUUGUUCUAACAAAAUCACUGUUAACAUAACAAUUAACCAGCAGGUAGAAGAACACAUCUUGUUCUAAUGAAGUAAAUGAAGUAAAUAUACCUCAUUCGAUUUCAAAUUAGGGGGAAGUCAAUAAUAGUGACACCUUGUUGGUUUAUAAGUAUGUAACAUGACCUGUUCUUCUCAACAAGGAAUUGCUUUCCUGACUUCUGCACUCAGAAGGUAUCUUUAAAAAAUAAUUUCCCAUUAGUAUUAGUGCACACUGGGUAUGUUUUGCAGGUUUUUUUUUUUCCUAAGACAGGGUCUCACUCUGUCAUCCAGGUUGUGACCACAAUCACAGCUCACUACAGCCUUGACUCCCAGGAUCAAGCGAUCCUCCCAUCUCAGCCUCCCAAGUAGCUGGGAUUACAGGUGUGCACCAAAACACCCAGCUAAUUUUUUAUUUGUUUUUGUAGAGAUGUGCUCUAUGUUGCCCAGGCUGGUCUGGAACUUCUGGACACAAGCAAUCCUCCCGCCUAGGCCUCCCAAUGUGCUGGGACUACAGGUGUGGGCCAGCAUAGCUGGCCAUUUCACAGUUCUUAUUUCCAUUUGCUUAUGGUGCCAGAAAGGUAUUGCUGAGUUUCCACUUUUGAAACUAAUUUUUUUUUAGUGACAUAAAUCACUGUGUGAUACAGUUAGCCUUUGAACAACAUGGAUUUGAACUGCAGGGGUCUACUUAUAAGCAGACUUUCUCCCACCUCUACCACCUGAGACAGCGAAGACCAACCUUCCUCUUCCUCUUCCUUAGCCUGCUCAACUUGAAGACUAUGAUGAAGAGUUAUAUAAUGAUCCACUUGCAUUUAAUGAAUAAGGCCUGGGCCCGACUCCUCCGAGGCUUCCCCAUCCCGGGUGCCAUGAAGCCUGCGGGCACCAGAAAGCCGGGGUCCCCAACACGACGGUGCGCCCGCCUCCUUCGCCUGGCCAUUACCUCUCCUUCCUAUCCCUCUUGUCCACGCCAGGGGUCUCCAGGAGCCAGGACGCGCUCCACCCCAGGGACGACGCCCGACCGGGCACCUCUGUGGAGCUCGCCGAGAUCUUCCAAGAGGACGUCGUGCCAGGGCUGGUCUAAAGCGCCCUCAUCGUGCUCGCUGUCGCUGCCAUCGCUUUUGCUUAACCAGCUGAAGGAAUCCGAGGACCACCGGUCCCCCAGGGAGCUUAAGGACAACUGGUCCUCCUGGUUCCCGACGCUAGGGGUCUUCCUCAUGGCGGAGGCUGCGGGCUUCGGAGACCCCUCAGCCCCUCCCCCAUUUUCUCCACCCCUGGAGGCCAUCAGUAGCGAGCUACUGCCUCGGCCACAACCUCCCAGCAGGAAGGCCCGCGGUUGCCAAUCUGUGAAAGGAGCACCGCCAAGCCAGAAAUGCCAAACCAAGCGAUCACUGCCACUCCAAGCCAAGCGACUACCGCCAAGCCAAGCAACCGCCGCCAAGCCCAGCAACCGCCACCAAGCCAAGCAACCGCCACCAAGCCAAGCGAUCACCGCCAAGCCAAGCGACAACCGCCAAGCCUCGCGGGUAAGGCCAAGCCAAUCCGUUACGCACCUGUGACGUCACUGCACCGGCAGCUCCAGCCUCCCAGAAAAAACUGCUUGGCCUGCAGGUGGCGCUGCAGCUCCGGCGCCGGCCUGGGCUGGCGGGUCCUCCCUGAGAGGUUUCAGGGUGGCGGCGCCUAGCCUGCCUAUCAUGAGUGACGCCUCACAGCGCCGCCGGCGCACCUGCUCCUCUGCUUGCCCUGUUCAGGGGUGCGGGCCAGUUCCCGCCCCAGUGCCGCCAUCGUUUGGCCGCCCCCGGCUUGGCCACCGCAGCGAAGUUGCCCCAGGGUCCGUGCUGCCAGGAUGCAAGCCAAGUCGGAUGGCUGGAUCAGAGCGGCUGUCCGCCCGGCGGGAAGGGCCUGCCCGACGCUGCUGCCCGCCUAGCUUCUACUCGGCCUGCGCCCGGAGCCAGGGACUAACUAGCUCUGGGCAUUCCGCAGCCGCUCCCGCCCUGUGCCGAGUUCGAGACCAACAUGGUCAACAUAGUGAAACCCCGUCUCUACUAAUAAUACAAAAAUUAGUAGGAUGUGGUGGCGCGCACCUGUAGACCCAGCUACUUGGGAGUUUGAGGCACGAGAACUGCUUGAACAAGGGAGGCAGAGGUUGCAGUGAGCUGGGUGCCACUGCAUUCCAGCCUGGUGACAGAGUGAGACUCCAUCUCAAAAAAAAUAAAAUAGGCCGGGCGCGGUGGCUCACGCUUGUAAUCCCAGCACUUUGGGAGGCCGAGGCGGGCGGAUCACGAGGUCAGGAGAUCGAGACCACGGUGAAACCCCGUCUCCAUUAAAAAAAUACAAAAAAAUUACCAGGCAUGGUGGCGGGCGCCUGUAGUCCCAGCUACUCGGAGAGGCUGAGGCAGGAGAAUGGCGUGAACCCGGGAGGCAGAGCUUGCAGUGAGCGGAGAUUGCGCCACUGCACUCCAGCCUGGGCGACAGAGCGAGACUCCGUCUCAAAAAAAAAAAAAAAAAAAAAAAAGAUUAAGAGUAUGCCUGACAGAUCCUCUCAAUCAAACAAGAGGGCCUCUACAAAACUUAAGAAUGACUUAACUAAGAAAAUUCUACUACUUGCCUAUCUGGAUUUCAGAAUUGUUAUGAACUAGUGGCUUUUUAGAAAUGUCUGUAGAGGUUAUCCUCUGCUUGGCCCACUGUAUGUUGGGUGUGUUAGGGGCAGAUAACUAUUAGAACAGACAUUUCUUCAAAGAAGAUAUAUAAAUAGCCAAUAAGCACAUGACAAGAUGCUCAGUGUCAUUAGUCACUGGGGGAAUGCAAAUUAAAACCACAAUGAGAUACCACUGCAUGACCAACUAAAAUGGACAAAAUCAAAGCCACUGACAAUACCAAGAGCUGAUGAGGAUGUGAAAAGAGGAGAAUACUCAUGUGAAGAGACUGGAAUAUUGGUAAUGGGGAUAUAAAAUGGAACAGCCAGUUUGGAAAAGAGUUUGAUGACUUUUUAAGUUAAAAAUAAAUUUACCACACAACCUACUCUUACGUAUCUGUCCAAAAGAAAUGAAAAACAUAUGUCCAAAUAAAAAUUUGCAAUGAACGUCCAAAACAGCAACAUUCAUUAUAGCCAAAUACUGAAAACAAUCCAAAUAUCCAUUAACUAGUGAAUGGAUAAACAAAAUGUGGUAUACUCAGGAACAAGAAGGAAUGAACUGAUACAAGAAACAAUAUGAACUUCAAAAACAAUAUUGUUAAGUGGAAACACUAGAUACAUAGGACUACGUAUUACCCAUGAAAUUUAUAGAAAAGGCAAAAAAAAAGAUAAUUGCUUGCCUGGGGCUCUGGGUAUAACUCCAUAUUAUAAAGAUAUCAAUUCUUCCUAAUUUAUCUAUAGAUUCAAUGCAUUCAUAAUAAAAUAUCUCAAUAGGCACGUACACAUGCACACAUCACAUUUAUAUGCAAGUAAAAACUGGUGAGCUAAUCCUGAAAUGUAUAUGGAAAUUCAAAGAACCAAGAACAGCCAAGGCAAUCUUGAGGAAGAAAAAGAAGGGCCUACACUACAGUAUAAAAUAUCAAGAUUUAUUUUAAAGCUACAAUAUUAAGGCAGUGUAGUAUUAGCACAUAGAUAAACAGGUCAAUGAAUGAAACUAGAAACCAGAAAAAACCUACACAAACAAGAUCUCCUGGUUUACAAAAAUGGUGCCAAGGGCCGGGCAUGGUGGCUCACACCUGUAAUCCCAGCACUUUGGGAGGCAGAGGUGGGUGGACUGCUUGAGGUCAGGAGUUUGAGACCAGCCUGACCAACAGAAUGAAACCCCAUCUCUACUAAAAAAAAAAAAAAAAAAAAAAAAAAAAAAAAAAAAAAAAUACAAAAAUUAGACGGGUGUGGUGGUGCAUGCCUAUAAUCCCAGCUACUCAGGAGGCUGAAGCACGAGAAUCUCUUGAACAUGGGAGGCGGAGGGUUGCAGUAAGCCAAGAUCACGCCACUGCACUCCAGCCUAGCGACAGAGUGAGACUCCAUCUCAAAAAAAAAGGAGGGCCAACUACAGCAGUGUGAAUGACAUUUAAAAAUAAUGCUAGGCUGGGCACGGUGGCUCAUGUCUUUAAUCUCAGCACUUUGGAAGGGCAAAGAUGGGCGGAUCACUUGAGGUCAGGAGUUCACGACUAGCCUGGUUAACAUGGUGAAACCCUGUCUCUACUAAAAAUACAAAAAUUAGCUGGGUGUGGUGGCGGGAGCCUGUAAUCUCAGUUACUCAGAAGGCUGAGGCAGGAGAAUCACUUAAGCCCAGGAGGCAGAGGUUGCAGUGAGCCAAGAUCACGCCACAGCACUCCAGUCUAGGCGACAGAGCGAGACUUUGUCUAGAAAAAAAAAUAAUGCUAGAUCAAACACAUAUCCAUUGUGAUAGACAGGGAAUUAGCCAUGCCUCCUACCUCACUUCAUACAUAAAAAUCAAUUCCAGAUGUACCACAUACCUAAAUGAGAAAGGUAAAAUAAGAAGCUUCUAGAAAAUAACAUAGAUGAGUACUCUCUGAUCUUGUAACAGGCGAGGUAAGAAAUCUCAAACAGGAAACAAAAAAAAAAAAACAGAGUCAGCUGAAAAAACUAUAUUAAAAUUAAUAACAUUCAACAGAAGAUACCAGUUGCUAUGGUUUGUCUGCUCCAAAACGCAUGUUUAAAUUUAAUUGCCAUUGUAACAAUAUUAAGAGGUGUGACCUUUAAGAGGUGGUUAGGCCAUGAAGGCUUUGCCCUCAUAAAUAAUUAUUGCCAAAGUGGGUUAGUUAUAGAAGGGCUAGUUAGGCCCACUUCUCUUUCUCCCUCCCUCCUUCUUUCUUUCUCUUCUCACUUUCUGCCAUAGGAUGUUACAACAAGAAGGUCCUCAUCAGAUGCCAGCACCUUGAUACUGGAUUUCUGAGCCUCCAGAACUGUGAGUCAGGGCCGAAUAGAAACAGCUCCAGUCAGCAGCUCCCAGUGAAAUCAAUGCAGAAGGUGGUUGAUUUCUGCUUUUCCAACUGAGGUACCCAGCUAAUCUCACUGGGACUGGUUAGACAGUAGGUGCAGCCCACAGAGGGCGAGCCGAAGCAGGGUGGGGUGACGCCUCAUACGGGAAGUGCAAGGGGUUGGGGAACUCCCUCCCCUAGCCAACAGAAGCCGUGAGGGACUGUGCUGUGAGGGACAGUGCAUUCUGGCCCAGUUACUAGACUUUUCCUAUGAUCUUCACAACCCACAGACCAGGAGAUUCCCUCAGGUGCCUACACCACGAGGGCCUUGGGUUUCAAGCACAAAACUGGGUGGCUGUUUGGGCAGACACCGAGAUAGCUGCAGGAGGUUUUUUUUUUCAUACCCCAGUGGCACCUAGAAUGCAAGUGAGAACCGUUCACUCCCCUGGAAAAGGGGCAGAAGCCAGGGAGCCAAGUGGUCUAGUUCAGUGGAUCCCACCCCCACAGAGCCCAACAAACUAAGAUCCACUGGCUUGAAAUUCUCACUGCCAGCACAGCAGUCUGAAGUCGACCUGGGAUGCUGGAGCUUGGCUGGGGGAGAGGCGUCCGCCAUUACUGACGCUUGAGAAGCCGGUUUUCGCCUCACAAUGGGGAAGUUCGAACUGGGCAAAGCCCACUGCAGAUCAGCAAAGUUGAUGUAACCAGACUGCCUCUCUAGAUUCCUCCUCUCUGGGCAGGGCAUCUCUGAAAGAAAGGCAGCAGCCCCAGUCAGGGGCUUAUAGAUAAAACUCCCAUCACCCUGGGACAGAGCACCUGGGGGAAGGGGCAGCUGUGGGAGCAGCUCCAGCAGACUUAAACCUUCCUGCCUGUUGGCUCUGAAGAGAGCAGUGGAUCUCCCAGCACAGUGUUUGAGCUCUGCUAAGGGACAGGCUGCCUCAAGUGGGUCCCUGACUCCCGUGCCUCCUGACUGGGAGAUACCUCCCAGCAGGGAUCGACAGAAACCUCAUACAUGAGAGCUCCAGUUGGCAUCUGGCAGAUGCCCCUCUGGGACAAAGCUUCCAGAGGAAGGAACAGACAGCAAUCUUUGCUGUUCUGCAGCCUCCACUGGCGAUACCCAGGUAAACAGGGUCUGGGGUGGACCUCCAGAAAACUCCAGCCGACCUGCAGCAGAGGGGCCUAUUAGAAGGAAAACUAACAAAUAAAAAGGAAUAGCAUCAACAUCAACAAAAAGGAUGUCCACUCAGAAACCCCAUCUGAAGGUCACCAACAUCAAAGACCAAAGGUAGAUAAAGCCAUGAGAUGAGGAAAAACCACCACAAAAAGGCUGAGAAUUCCAAAAACCAGAAUGCCUCUUCUCCUCCAAAGGAUCACAACUCGCCAGCAAGGGAACGAAGCUGGACGGAGAAUGAGUUUGACAAAUUUACAGAGGUAGGCUUCAGAAGGUGGGUAAUAACAAACUCCUCUGAGCUAAAGGAGCAUGUUCUAACCCAAUGCAAGGAAGCUAAGAACCUUGAAAAAAGGUUAGAGGAAUUGCUAACUAGAAUAACCAGUUUAGAGAAGAACAUAAAUGACCUGAUGGAGCUGAAAAACACAGCACGAGAACUUCAUGAAGCAUACACAAGUAUCAAUAGCCAAAUCGAUCAAGCGGAAGAAAGGAUAUCAGAGAUUGAAGAUCAACUUAAUGAAAUUAAGUGUGAAGACAAGACUACAGAAAAAGAAUGAAAAGGAACAGUCUCCAAGAAAUAUGGGACCAUGUGAAAAGACCAAAUUUACGUCUGAUUGGUGUACCUGAAAGUGACAGGGAGAAUGGAACCAAGUUGGAAAACACUCUUCAGGAUAUUAUCCAGGCGAACUUCCCCAACCUGGCAAGACAAAUCAACAUUCAAAUUCAGGAAAUACAGAGAGCACUACAAAGACACUCCUCAAGAACAGCAACCCCAAGACACAUAAUUGUCAGAUUUACCAAGGUUGCAAUGAAGGAAAAAAUGUUAAGGGCAGCGAGAGAGAAAGGUCACAUUACCCACAAAGGGAAGCCCAUCAGACUAACAGCGGAUCUCUUGGCAGAAACCCUACAAGCCAGAAGAGAGUGGGGGCCAAUAUUCAACAUUCUUAAAGAAAAGAAUUUUCAAUCCAGAAUUUCAUAUCCAGCCAAACUAAGCUUCAUAAGUGAAGGAGAAAUAAAAUACUUUACAGAUGAGCAAAUGUUGAGAGAUUUUGUCACCACCAGGCCUGCCUUACAAGAGCUCCUGAAGACACCACUAAAUAUGGAAAGGAAAAACCAGUACCAGCCACUGCAAAAACAUACCACAUUGUAAAAACCAUCGACACUAUGAAGAAACUGCAUCAACUAACGGGCAAAAUAACCAGCUAGCAUCAUAAUGACAGGAUCAAAUUCACACAUAAAAAUAUUAACCUUAAAUGUAAAUGGACUAAAUGCCCCAAUUAAAAGACACGGACUGGGAAACUGCAUAAACAGUCAAGACCCAUCAGUGUGCUAUAUUCAGGAGACCCAUUUCACAUGCAAAGACACAAAUAGGCUCAAAAUAAAGAGAUGGAGGAAUAUUUACCAAGCAAAUGGAAAGCAAAAAAAAAAAAAAAGGAGAGGUUGCAAUCCUAGUCUCUCAUAAAACAGACUUUAAAGCAACAAAAAUCAAAAAAGACAAAGAAGGGUAUUACAUAAUAGUAAAGGGAUCAAUGCAAUAAGAACAGCUAAGUAUCCUAAGUAUAUAUGCAACCAAUACAGCAGCACCCAGGUUCAUAGUUUUUAGAGACCUACAAAGAAACUUAGACUCCCACACAAUAAUAGUGGGAGACUUUAACACCCCACUGUCAAUAUUAGCCAGAUCAACAAGACAGAAAAUUAACAAGGAUAUUCAGGACUUGCACUCAGCUCUGGACCAAAUGGACCUAAUAGACAUCUACAGAACUCUCCACCCCAAAUCAACAGAAUAUACAUUCUUCUCGGCACCACAUCGCACUUAUUCUAAAAUCGUCCACCUAAUUGGAAGUAAAACACUCCUCAGCAAAUGCAAAAGAACAGAAAUCAUAACAAACAGUCUCUCUCAGACCACAGCACAAUCAAAUUAGAUCUCAGGAUUAAGAAACUCACUCAAAACUGCAAAACUACAUGCAAACUGAACAACCUGCUCCUGAAUGACUACUGGGUAAAUAACAAAAUUAAGGCAGAAAUAAACAUGUUCUUGGCCAGGCGCGGUAGCUCACGCCUGUAAUCCCAGCACUUUGGGAGGCCAAGGCAGGCAGAUCACAAGGUAAGGAGAUCGAGAUCACCCUGGCUAACACAGUGAAACCCCGUCUCUACUAAAAAUACAAAAAAUUAGCUGGGCGUGGUGGCGGGUGCCUGUAGUCCCAGCUACUUAGGAGGCUGAGGCAGGAGAAUGGCGUGAACCCGGGAGGCAGAGCUUGCAGUGAGCCGAGAUCGUGCCACUGCACUCCAGCCUGGGCAACAGAGCGAGACUCCAUCUCAAAAAAAAAGUAAAAAUAAAAAAUAAAGACGUUCUUUGAAACCAAUGAGAACAAACACACAAUGUACCAGAUUCUCUGGGACACAGCUAAAGCAGUGUUUAGAGGGAAAUUUAUAGCACCAAAUGCCCACAGGAGAAAGUGGGAAAGAUCUAAAAUUGACACCCUAACAUCACAAUUGAAAGAACUAGAGAAGUAAGAGCAAACAAAAUCAAAAGCUAGCAGAAGACAAGAAAUAACUAAGAUCAGAGCAGAACUGAAGGAGAAAGAGACACAAAAAACCCUUCAAAAAAUCAAUGAAUCCAGGAGCUGGUUUUUUGAAAAGAUUAACAAAAUAGACCACUAGCCACUAAUAAAGAAGAAAAGAGGAGAAUCAAAUAGACACAAUAAAAAAUGAUAAAGGGGAUAUCACCACUGAUCACACAGAAAUACAAACUACCAUCAGAGAAUACUAUAAACACCUCUAUGCAAAUAAACUAGAAGAUCUAGAAGAAAUGGAUAAAUUCCUGGACACAUACACCCUCCCAAGACUAAACCAGGAAGAAGUCAAAUCCCUGAAUAGACCAAUAACAAGUUCUGAAAUUGAGGCAGUAAUUAAUAGCCUACCAACCAAAAAAAGCCCAGGACCAGACAGAUUCACAGCCGAAUUCUACCAUAGGUGCAAAGAGGAGCUGUUACCAUUCCUUCUGACACUACCCCAAACAAUAGAAAAAGAGGGACUCCUCCCUAACUCAUUUUACGAGGCCAGCAUUAUCCUGAUUCCAAAACCUGGCAGAGAGACAACCAAAAAAGAAAAUUUCAAGCCAAUAUCCCUGAUGAACAUCGAUGCAAAAAUCUUCAAUAAAAUACUGGCAAACCGAAUCCAACAGCACAUCAAAAAGCUUAUCCACCAUGAUCAAAUCAGCUUCAUCACUGGGAUGCAAGGCUGGUUCAACAUAUGCAAAUCAAUAAAUGUAAUCCAUCACAUAAAUAGAACCAAUGACAAAAACCACGAUUAUCUCAAUAGAUGCAGAAAAGGCCUUCAAUAAAAUUCAACAGCCCUUCAUGCUAAAAAUUCUCAAUAAACUAGGUAUUGAUGGAAUGUAUCUCAAAAUAGUAAGAGCUAUUUAUGAUAAAUACAUAGCCAAUAUCAUACUGAAAGGGCAAAAGUUGGAAGUAUUCCCUUUGAAAAUCGGCACAAGACAAGAUGCCCUCUCUCACCACUCCUAUUCAACAUAGUAUUGUAAGUUCUGGCCAGGGCGAUCAGGCAAGAGAAAGAAAUAAAGGGUAUUCAAAUAGGAAGAGAGGAAGUCAAAUUGUCUCUGUAUGCAGAUGACAUGAUUGUAUAUUUAGAAAACCCCAACGUCUCAGCCCAAAAUCUCCUUAAGCUGAUAAGCAACUUCAGCAGUCUCAGGACACAAACAUCAGUGUGCAAAAAUCACAAGCAUUACUGUACACCAAUAAUAGAUAAACAGCCAAAUCAUAAGUGAAUUCCCAUUCACAAUUGCUACAAAGAGAAUAAAAUACCUAGGAAUGCAACUUAUAAGGAAUCUGAGGGACCUCUUCGAGGAGAACUAUCAACCACUGCUCAAGAAAAUCAGAGAGGACACAAACAAAUGGAAAAACAGUCCAUGCUCAUGGAUAGGAGGAAUCAAUAUAGUGAAAAUGGCCAUACUACCCAAAGUAAUUUAUAGGUUCAAUGCUAUCCCCAUCAAGCUACCAUUGACUUUCUUCACAGAAUUAGAAAAAACUACUUUAAAUUUCAUAUGGAACCAAAAAAGAGCCCACAUAGCCAAGACGGUCCUAAGCAAAAAGAACAAAGCUGGAGGCAUCAUGCUACCUAACUUCAAACUAUACUACAAGGCCACAGUAACCAAAACAGCAUGGUACUAGUACCAAAACAGAUACAUAAACCAAUGGAACAGACCAGAGGCCUCAGAAAUAACACCACACAUCUACAACCAUCUGAUCUUUGACAAACCUGACAAAAACAAGAAAUGGGGAAAGGAUUUCCUAUUUAUUAAAUGGUGUUGGGAAAACUGGCUAGCCAUAUGCAGAAAAAUGAAACUGGACCCCUUCCUUACAUCUUAUACAAAAAUUAACUCAACAUAGGUUAAAGAUUUAAACACAAGACCUAAAACCAUAAAAACCCUAGAAGAAAACCUAGGCAAUAUCAUUCAGGACACAAGCAUGGGCAAAGACUUCAUGAUUAAAACACCAAAAGCAAUGGAAACAAAAGCCAAAAUUGACAAAUAGGAUCUAAUUAAACUAAAGAGCUUCUGCCCAGCAAAAGAAGCUAUCGUAAGAGUGAACAGAUAACCUACAGAAUGGGAGAAGAUGUUUGCAAUCUAUCCAUCUGUCACAGGACUAAUAUCCAGAAUCCACAAGGAACUUAAAGAAAUUUACAAGAAAAACCAUCAAAAAGUGGGCAAAGGAUAUGAACAGUCACUUCUCAAAAGAAGACAUUUAUGCGGGCAAUAAACAUACAAAAAAAAGCUCAUCACUGGUUGUUGGAGAAAUGCAAAUCAAAACCACAAUGAGAUACCAUCUCACACCAGUUAGAAUGGCAAUCACUAAAAAGUCAAGAAACAACAGAUGCUGGAGAAGAUGUGGAGAAACAGGAAUGCUUUUACACUGUUGGUCGGAGUGUAAAUUAGUUCAACCGUUGUGGAAGACAGUGUGGAAAUUCCUCAAGGAUCUAGAACCAGAAAUACCAUUUGACCCAGUAUCUCAUUACUGGGUAUAUACCCAAAGGAUUAUAAAUCAUUCUACUAUAAAGACACAUGCACAUGUAUGUUUAUUUCUGCACUGUUCACAAUAGCAAAGAAUUGGAACCCACCCAAAUGCCCAUCAAUAAUAGACCAGAUAAAGAAAAUGUGCCACACAUACACCAUGGAAUACUAUGCAGCCAUAAAAAAAGGAUGAGUUCAUGUCCUUUGCAGGGACAUGGAUGAAGCUGGAAACCAUCAUUCUUAGCAAACUAACACGGGAACAGAAAACCAAACACCGCAUGUUCUCACUCAUAAGUGGGAGCUGAACAUGGACACAGGGAGGGGAACAUCACACACCGGGGCCUGUCGGGGGGUUGGGGGCUAGGGGAGGGAUAGCAUUAGGAGAAAUACGUCAUGUGGAUGACAGGUUGAUGGGAGCAGCAAACCACCGUGGCAUGUGUACACCUAUGUAACAAACCUGCACGUUCUACACAUGUAUUCCAGAACUUAAAGUAUAUAAAAAAAAGAAUUAAAAAACUGUACGAAUUUAAAAAUAAGUAAAUACAUAUGACAUUACACUGUAAAAAAAACUUAAAGUAUAAUUUUUUAAAAAAUCAGAUACACAACUGUGAGUCAAUAAAUUCUCUUCAUUAUAAAUCACCCAAUCUCAGGUAUUCUCUUACGGCAGCAUGAAAUGGACAAAGACAGAAGUGAAAGUGAAAAUGCAAGCCACAGAGUGAAAAAAGAUAUUUUCAAUACAUGUAAUCAACAAAGAAUUAGUAUCCAGAAUAUACAAAGACAAAUCAACAGUGAAAAGACAGACAAACCAUUUUUUUCAUACUUAAAAAAGAUCAAAGACUCAACCAGAAACUUCACAUGAGAGGAUAUCCAAAUGGUCAAUAAACAUUAAAAGAGAUCUUGGUAUCAUUAGUCAUGAGGGAAAAUGCAAAUUCAAACUGUACAUCUGCCAUACCAGAAUUGCUAAAAUUAUAAAAAACUUACAAACCGAGUUUCAGCAAGGAUGGAGAGCCAUGGGAACUUUCAAUCUUGCUAGUGGAAAUGUAAACUGGUACAGCCACUUUGAGAAACUUUAUCAGCAGUGUCUACUAUGAUCGCACUUCUAAGUCAACACUCAAAAAAUGUGUAUACUUGUGUACUAAGAGGCACGUAAAAGAGUAUUCACAGUAGAAUCACUUCUAAUGUCAAAAACCAAAAGUCCAACCACAGUACAAUGGAUAUAUAAAUUGUGAUAAAUUCAUACAAUAAUUUUAAAAAUCCAUUGCUAAAUGCAACAACAUGGAUCAAUCUCACAACAUAAUGUUGAGCAAAAGAAGACAAACAAAAGGGAACGUGCUUUAUGAAUCAAAAACAAUGAAAACGAAUCAAUGGUAACAAUACACAAUAGUGGUUCCUUCUUCAAGAGGUAAUAAAUGACUGGGAGAGAGCAAGAAAGAGUUUCUGGGGAGGUGGCUAUAUUCUCUAUAUUGACCUGGAAAGAGAUUUCACGGAUACAUACAUUUUGUAAAACUUCAUCAAGCUUUACACUUUGAUGUGUCUUGUUGCAUGUGUGUUGUAUUUUAACAGUUUACCAAAAGACAAAGAAUCAACUAUAGCUAUAUUUAUUAACAUGGAUAAAUCUGAAAAAUAUGAUGAGUGAAAAGAGCAAGUCUCAAAAUAAUACAUGCAGCAUGAUUCUACUUAUAUGAAAUUCAAAAUAAAGAGAGAGAUAAAUAACUGAUUAACACAAAAUACAGGACAGUAAUUUCCUCUCAAGCAAAGGGAAGAGGCAAUCGGAGAAGGGUACCCAGCGGUCUUCUGGAGAACUGUAAUAUACUAUUUAUUGGCUAGGUUGAAAGUAUAGAAAUGUUUAUCUUCUAGUGGCUCUUUAAACUGUACCUGUGCACUGUACACAUUUUUUGUAUGCAUGCUAUGUUUCACAGCUGUAAAAUAUUUUAAGAGUAAUACAACUACUGAAUUAUAAAUUAUCAGAUAACCAAAAGGAGAACUUCUGAUUUCCUGUCUUUUCAUUUAUCUGAGCAGCAGGUAAUAUUGUUAUAUACCAUCUGCAGAACAGUCUUCUUUGGGUAUAUUACUAAAUAUGCUUAUGAAACAUAAAAAUAAAUAACAAUUAAUAAUCCAGUAAAGUAUCAAAUAAUGCUGAAAAUUAAGAAAUGAAAAUAACUUCCAAUGAGCCACAACAUACUUACUUUAAUUUUUCAAAAAGAACUUUAUUAGAAAGAAAAAGAAAACUAAAUGAAAAAAAUGAGAUGCUUAACAAAACUAGAAAAAGGUGAGCACAGAUUCAUCAACACUUUAAGACUUCAUAUUUCCAACUACUUACUUUAAAAUGGCGCACUUGAUUUUAAAACUUAAAAAUAAAAAAUUUAAAAAAUCGUACAUUUAAAUCAUUGUUUAUUAAUAUAUCUCUGACUUAGAACACUCAAUAUUUAAAUUUCAUUAAAAUUAAAUGUUAAAAUAUACUUAUAAGCUGUUAUCCAUUUUUGUUUAUUAAAAAGGACAACCCAAACUGUUCAAUAUUACCUAACAGAAACUUGUUUGUGAAAUUAAAAGAUGUUAUUACAAAGCCUCACUCAUUAAAAGAAAGAAAAAGAGAAAUGUGACUAAAUUGUCAGAAAGCUCACUUACUGGGGGAGAAAAAAGCCUAAGAGAAAUAAUGGCCUAAGGACCAUUAUUUUCAAAGCAGCUCCAUCCCAGUUACAAAUAGUUGCCACUUGGCCUCAUCUUAGUAAAUACCUAAGAGUGACAUUUAAUUAGCACAUUAAUGUUGAAAAUUAAUGAGUAGCUAAGUGGUUUUAUAUGUGUGAAAUGUUAUAUUUUAUUGAGUACCCUAAGAAGCAGUUUUCACUUCUCAUUUAUGUAGCAGUCCUAUUUCUAGAGUACAAGGUUAAGUGUCUAUCAGCAAGUGUCCACUGUAUAAAAGAUUGUCAAAUUAGUCAGAUUUGGCCAGGCACAGUGGCUCACACCUGUAAUGCCAGCACUUUGGGAGGCCAAGGCGGGAGGACCAUUUGAGGUCAAGAGUUGGGAGCCUACCCUGGCCAACAUAGCGAGACCCUGUCUCUACCAAAAAUACAAAAAUUAGCCAGGUGUGGUGGCAGGCACCUGUAAUCCCAGCUACUCGGGAGGCUGGGGCAGGAGAAUCACUUGAACCCGGGAGGCAGAGGUUGCAGGGAGCCGAGAUCACGCCACUGCACUGCAGCCUGGGUGACAGUGCGAAACUCCAUCUCAAAAAAAAAAAGGCCGGCACGGUAGCUCAUGCCUGUAAUCCCAGCACUUUGGGAGGCCUAGGCAGAUGGAUCACGAGGUCAGGAGUUCAAGACCAGCCUGGCCAAGAUGGUAAAGCCCCAUCUCUACUAAAACCACAAAAAUUAGUCGGGCGUGGUGGCAGGCACAUGCAAUCCCAGCUACUCAGGAGGCUGAGGCAGAGAAUUGCUUGAACCUCGAAGGCAGAGGCUAUGGUGAGCCGAGAUCGUGCCACUGCACUCCAGCCUGGGAGACAAAGUGAAAUUCCAUCUUGCCUUACAAUUCUGUGAAAAAUGUUUUGAAGCUUCUUGUUAAUGGCUUGUAAUUAUUUUAUGUCUUUUCAGUAUGUCUUCUUUUUCAUCCGUAAAUUCCUCUCAAAUAAGCAGAAGCAAUGUGUUUCUUCCACUGUAAAGCGGUGUUUAAAAGUUAGAGUUUAUUUAACAUUACUCCUCUUCACCCUACCGUAACUUUUAAUCAAAGUUUUCAGUAAAAAUAUACACACAUAUAUAUGUGUGUGUGUGUGUAUAUACAUAUUUAUUUAUAAACAGUUUCUUUUUUGUUAGUAGGAGCUCCUGUGACAGCAGAAAUUGACCAAGAGAAGAGCAACUAGAUGUUGACCAUGGGUGAUCAUCACCAAAAAAGGGAGCUGCCCAUGAAAUGCAAGUCAGAAGUCCAGGCACAGCUGAACUGGGUCCUCUGUUUAGGGCCACGGAAGGGUGCAAUCAUGAUUGCACCAGACCUGGGUUCUCAUCUAGAGGCUCUAUUAGGGAAGGAUUCACUUCCCGACUCGUGUGGAUGUCAGCAGCAUUCAGUUCCUUAUGGCUAUCUGAUUCAUGUAUGAUUUAUGGCAGCUGCUUCUUCCAAAGCCAACAAAUGGAAUGACAGCAAGUCUACUAGCAAGAUGAAGUAAUGUAAUCCUGGGAAUAAUAUCCCAUUACCAUUGCCAUAAUUUAUUGGUUAGAACCAAGUCACAGGUCCUGCCCAUACUCAAGGGGAGGGGAUUAUGUAAGGGUAUGAACACCAGAAGAAGGAUCAUGAAGACCACCAUCAAGACAAUUAAGGUCUUUAUCAGACCUCCAUGGUUAAGUAUCUGAAGGCUGAUCAGAAAGAUAAUAUAUAUUGAUAUAGCUCAUGAUUGUAGAUCUAAAUGAAAUUAACCAAACUAUACAUGCAUGAGAUCUAAGUCUAUGGUCUCCUUAGUAACACUGUCUAAAGUCAUGCUCCAAACUCAAAUAUAACUAAAAUAUUUCAUUGUCAAGAAAAUAGGCAGAUAGGCCAGGCAUGGUGGCUCAUGCCUGUAAUCCCAGCACUUUGGGAGGCCAAGGUGGGCAUAUCACUUAAGGUCAGGAAUUCGAGACCAGCCUGGCCAACAUAGUGAAACCAUGUCUCUACUAAACACAAAAAUUAGCCAGGCAUGGUGGUGCGUGCCUGUAAUCCCAGCUACUCUGGAGGCUGAGGCAGGAGAAUCGCUUGAACCUGGGAGGCAGAGGUUGAAGUGAGCUGAGAUUGUGCCACUGCACUCUAGCCCAGGUGACAGAGUAAGACUCCAUCUCAAAAAAAUAGAAAAGAAAAAAGGCAGAUAUUUGACAUAAAAAUGCAGUAACAGAUAUAUAAUAGCAAUGCAAUGUGGAACAGUAGUUUUUCUUAUAGAAAAUAUGGGUAAUAAGAUUACCGUAAACCAAAAAAUAUGAAAAAUGAAAGCAAAGAAGAGAACCAGGACAGGACCACUAGCUAAGUGUUGAAGCUGUCUGAUGUGAAAUGCUAAGUACACUAGUAUAUAAUGUAUACUUGGAGGAAAAAAUAAGGCAUGAGAAUAAGCCAGAUGGAGUAUGACCUCACCAUACUUCUAACAAGUUUGGAACAAGGCUAUAUACCAUAUCGUACAGGAAGAAUAAAAGGAAAGGAAAGGUGCCAUCUCUACUGAAUAGGGAGUCCUAACAAAAAGGCUUCAAAAGGACUCUGCAUCUUUAAUAAUAUAAAUAAGGCUAGGACACAAACAGCAUCAUCUAAAAUGCCAUUAGAAAUACUUCACAUACAAAAAAGUCUAAGUAAAGCAGGAUUUUAUAAAGUGAUCAAAAAAGAAACACUAAGGGGGAAAAAUCUUUUAAGAUUAAAGAGGUUUUUCAAAGGACAAGUUGAAGUGGCUGUAAAAUUUAUGAGGCAGCAUUAAACUUCAGUUCUAAGUAACAAUAAAUUAUUCACUAUAAAAACAUACAUGUGUCAAAUAUCAUAAGCCUCUUAAACUUUUUAAAACAAUUUCUUGCAGAACUGAUUAGAUAUAUUAGGUCAAGAUUAGCAGAUACUAACUUUUUCAUUAGCACACUAUGAUCACUCAAAGUAAAGGAGGAAAUUUAGAAAAGAAAUAAGACAGAACCGUCAGUAGCCAAUUCACCACCACAUGUGAUCUGAUGUCACACAUGAUACAUAUUUCACCUUAAGAUCAGUUUUCUUGGCUGGGUGCGGUGGCUCACACUUGUAAUCCCAGCACUUUGGGAGGCCGAGACGGAUGGAUCACGAGGUCAGGAGAUCAAGACCACGGUGAAACCCCGUCUCUACUAAAAAUACAAAAAAAUUAGCUGGGCGUGGUGGUGGGCGCCUGUAGUCCCAGCUACUCGGAGAGGCUGAGGCAGGAGAAUGGCGUGAACCCGGGAGGCGGAGCUAGCAGUGAGCCGAGACUGCGCCACUGCACUCCAGCCUGGGCGACAGAGCAAGACUCCGUCUCAAAAAAAAAAAAAAAAAAAAAAAAAAAAGAUCAGUUUUCUUGGCUUUAGCUAAAGUAAAUGUUAGUUUUAUUUUAAAUGUCUUCAUGUAUGUAGAAACUACAAAUAUCUGUUA